GUACACUUGAGCAGUACAUACACUAAAAUUGGAACAAUGCAGAGAAGAUGAGCACGGCCCCUGCACAGGAUAGCAUACAAAUUCAUGAAGCAUUCCAUCUUUUU
ensembl:snRNA U6 U6 spliceosomal RNA